rnacentral:tRNA from 2 species
GAGGAUCAGUCGUCUAACAGGGAAGACAGGCUUAUUUAAAAUAAGCAAGAUAUGGGUUCAAUUCCCAUUAUCCUCA